rnacentral:rRNA from 1 species
UCCGUAGGGUGAACCUGCGGAAGGAUCAUUUGUGAAUUUUGAGCGUAACUUCGGUUUGCUCAACCUUCAUUUUCCAACUCUGUGCACUAUUGGCGGACUGAGAGUAAGCAAUUGCUAUUCAGUCUGCGGCUCACUAUUUAACAUUUGUUUAAGUAUGUAAAUAAAAACAAAACAAAAAAAACUUUCAACAACGGAUCUCUUGGCUCUCGCAUCGAUGAAGAACGCAGCGAAAUGUGAUAAGUAAUGUGAAUUGCAGAAUUCAGUGAAUCAUCGAAUCUUUGAACGCACCUUGCGCUCUCUGGUAUUCCGGAGAGCAUGUCUGUUUGAGUGUCAUGAACUCUUCAACCUACCGGUUUCUAGUAAAUCGGAUCAGUGUUUGGAUUCUGAACGCCUGCUGGCCUUUUUUGGCGAAGCUCGUUCGUAAAUGAUUUGCAUCUCAUAUUCGAAAAUCGGAUUGACUCAGUGUAAUAGACUAUUCGCUGAGGACGCUCUUUUGGGAGUGGCCGAGUUUUGUGAAGUAGAAGCUUCUAAUUCUAUUUGUCAACUUUUGAUUUGACCUCAGAUCAGGCAGGAUUUCCCGCUGAACUUUAGCAUAUCAAUAAGCGGAGGA